AGUGAACGCUGGCGGUAGGCCUAACACAUGCAAGUCGAACGGCAGCACAGUAAGAGCUUGCUCUUACGGGUGGCGAGUGGCGGACGGGUGAGGAAUACAUCGGAAUCUACUUUUUCGUGGGGGAUAACGUAGGGAAACUUACGCUAAUACCGCAUACGACCUACCGGUGAAAGCAGGGGAUCUUCGGACCUUGCGCGAUUGAAUGAGCCGAUGUCGGAUUAGCUAGUUGGCGGGGUAAAGGCCCACCAUGGCGACGAUCCGUAGCUGAUCUGAGAGGAUGAUCGGCCACACUGGAACUGAGACACGGUCCAGACUCCUACGGGAGGCAGCAGUGGGGAAUAUUGGACAAUGGGCGCAAGCCUGAUCCAGCCAUACCGCGUGGGUGAAGAAGGCCUUCGGGUUGUAAAGCCCUUUUGUUGGGAAAGAAAAGCAGCAGGUUAAUACGCCGCUGUUCUGACGGUACCCAAAGAAUAAGCACCGGCUAACUACGUG
rnacentral:rRNA from 1 species